GUAGGGGGCGAGCGUUGUCCGGAAUCAUUGGGCGUAAAGAGCUCGUAGGCGGCUCAGUAAGUCGGGUGUGAAACCCCUAGGCUCAACCUAGGGACGCCACCCGAUACUGCUGUGGCUAGAGUCCAGUAGGGGAGUGUGGAAUUCCCGGUGUAGCGGUGAAAUGCGCAGAUAUCGGGAGGAACACCAGCGGCGAAGGCGGCACUCUGGGCUGGAACUGACGCUGAGGAGCGAAAGCGUGGGUAGCAAACAGGAUUAGAUACCCUGGUAGUCCACGCCGUAAACGUUGGGCACUAGGUGUGGGGACCCUCCAACGGUUUCCGUGCCGUAGCUAACGCAUUAAGUGCCCCGCCUGGGGAGUACGGCCGCAAGGCUAAA
rnacentral:rRNA from 1 species